GCCGAUGGCUCAUUCGUGAGCACAGGUAAGGCUGAAAGGGUGCGGUAAGAGCGCACCGGACGACUAGUAAUAGUUCGUUGCAGGGUAAACUCCACCCGGAGCAAGAUCAAAUAGGCUCUCAUAUGGCGUGGCCCACGUUGAGAGCGGGUAGAUCGCUUGAGCCUGCGAGCAAUUUCAGGCCUAGAUGAAUGAUUGUCCACGACGAAACCCGGCUUACUGGCGUCUCCAGCUA
rnacentral:RNase_P_RNA from 1 species